rnacentral:snoRNA from 1 species
AGCCUCAUUCUCGAUGAAAGCGGGCACGAUUGUUUGUGGUGUCUACAAAUGGUUAAUGUGGCUACAUUGAGACACAGAUUAUGCUUCCAUUAUUGCAAGGGCAAGAAUGAGACCUGUAACAUUU